CCUGAACAAGGGCAUACCUCUGAACAAGAGGAAGAUGUCGUAAUGGAAGAGGCCCCUGAACAAGGACACCCUCUUGAUGAGUUAGACCCCCGAAUAAUCGAUUAUGAACCAAAUGCGACCCCAAUGGAAGAACUGGAAACUUUCCCAGUCAAUCCAGAAGACCCCAAUCAAGUCUUGUGCAUAGGAAAGUCAUUAUCGCCUGAAGCAAAAAUUGAGAUGAUACGAUUCCUGAAAGAAAACCUGGAUGUCUUCGCAUGGAAACAUGAG
rnacentral:lncRNA from 1 species